CCUACGGGUGGCAGCAGUGGGGAAUAUUGCGCAAUGGGCGAAAGCCUGACGCAGCGACGCCGCGUGAGGGAUGAAGGUCUUCGGAUCGUAAACCUCUGUCAGCAGGGAAGAACGGUCACUGUGCUAAUCAGCAGCGAAUUGACGGUACCUGCAAAGGAAGCACCGGCUCACUCCGUGCCAGCAGCCGCGGUAAUACGGAGGGUGCGAGCGUUAAUCGGAAUUACUGGGCGUAAAGCGCUCGUAGGCGGUAUGUCAAGUCAAGGGUGAAAUCCCCGCGCUCAACGUGGGAACUGCCUUUGAAACUGGCAAACUGGGGUGUGUGAGAGGAGAGUGGAAUUCCAGGUGUAGGAGUGAGAUCCGUAGAUAUCUGGAGGAACAUCAGUGGCGAAGGCGACUAUCUGGCACAUAACUGACGCUGAGGAGCGAAAGCGUGGGUAGCAAACAGGAUUAGAUACCCGGGUAGUC
rnacentral:rRNA from 1 species